GGAAGGAUCAUUAUCAUACAAUGGAGAUGCAAGGGCUGUUGCUAACCAUUCAAAGGUUGUGCACGCCUGAGUUGCUCUCCUACACAUCCAUUUCACCCCUUAUGUGCAUCACGGCGUGGGGAUCCCUUGAAAGGCCCCACGUUUCUUUUUUCCUUACACACAAACCUCAAAGUAGUGUAAAAAAGAAUGUAUUUUCAUUAUUUGCAGUGAUAUGCAAUUAAUACAACUUUCAACAACGGAUCUCUUGGCUCUCGCAUCGAUGAAGAACGCAGCGAAAUGCGAUACGUAAUGUGAAUUGCAGAAUUCAGUGAAUCAUCGAAUCUUUGAACGCACCUUGCACCCCUUGGUAUUCUGAGGGGUACACCCGUUUGAGUGUCGUGAAAUUCUCAAAAAGCCUUUUCUUGAUCUUCAAGGAAAAGUAUUUUUGGACUUGGAGGAAUUAAUGCUCCCUUUCAGUUAUUGAAAGGGAGCUCCUCUUAAAUAAAUCAGUGGGGUUUUGCUUUGCUAAUCCUUGAUGUGAUAAAGCAAUUCUACAUUUUGGAUAUAGCAUUGCCCUUUUAUUUUAAACACCUGCUUCUAAUUGUCUUAUGGACAAUGAUGGUGUUCUGGUCAACUGGCCACCUAUGUUGGUGGGAGAAGGCUAGACCCACAAGAAAUAACCUUGACCUCAAAUCGGGUGAGACUACCCGCUGAACUUAAGCAUAUCAAUAAGCGGAGGAAAAGAAACUAACAAGGAUUCCCCUAGUAACUGCGAGUGAAGCGGGAAAAGCUCAAAUUUAAAAUCUGGUGGUCUUUGGCCAUCCGAGUUGUAAUUUAGAGAAGCGUUUUCUGCGCUGGGCCAUGCACAAGUCUCCUGGAAUGGAGCGUCAUAGAGGGUGAGAAUCCCGUCUUUGGCAUGGAUAUAACCAGGGCUUUUCUGAUGCGCUCUCAAGAGUCGAGUUGUUU
rnacentral:rRNA from 1 species